rnacentral:rRNA from 1 species
UACGUAGGGGGCAAGCGUUGUCCGGAUUUAUUGGGCGUAAAGCGCGCGCAGGCGGUCUCUUAAGUCUGAUGUGAAAGCCCACGGCUCAACCGUGGAAGGUCAUUGGAAACUGGGAGACUUGAGAGUAGGAGAGGAAAGUGGAAUUCCACGUGUAGCGGUGAAAUGCGUAGAGAUGUGGAGGAACACCAGUGGCGAAGGCGACUUUAUGGCCUAUAACUGACGCUGAGGCGCGACAGCGUGGGGAGCAAACAGG